rnacentral:rRNA from 1 species
UACGUAGGGUGCGAGCGUUGUCCGGAAUUAUUGGGCGUAAAGGGCUCGUAGGCGGUCUGUUACGUCGGGAGUGAAAACUCAGGGCUCAACCCUGAGCCUGCUUCCGAUACGGGCAGACUAGAGGUAUGCAGGGGAGAAUGGAAUUCCUGGUGUAGCGGUGAAAUGCGUAGAUAUUGGGAGGAACACCAGUGGCGAAGGCGGCUCACUGGACCGGUACUGACGCUGAUGCGCGACAGCGUGGGGAGCAAACAGG